GAAAAGGAGGUAAUCUAGUUUCAUUCCUAUAUGCCCCAAAAAUCCUCCCGCAGACUCUUUGAUCUUCUAGAACCCUCCAAGCAUUACUAGAACCUUCUCCCCCUUCUCCACCUCUCCCAAACCUCCAUAGUUAUACCCAUUCCGUUCUACCCACACCUCCUCCAUCACUCCUUCCAAUCCAUCCCACAUCAGAAACAAACAAAGCAGCCAGGGUUGGAUAACAGAGAAGAAGAAACCAAGAGUAGAAAAAUGUUUGGGGUGGUCUUCCCCGACCGCAGCUACCCCAUGGAUCCCUCCUCCUUCGCCCAGAUCGACCCCCUCCAUUGGCUCCUCGAUAUGAAAACCUUCGUCGGCGAAGCUUACCACGAGGUCAAGGAGCUCUGUAUCUUCCUUCUAAACGCCGGUGUUCUUCCGCCGGAGAAGGCCCUCGCCGUCUAUUGCCAGGCCCCUGGCCGCCCCUUCGUGUUCUGCGGUGCCGUCCACGCCGCCCGCCCUUCCGCCGUCCUCUCCCUCCCCUGGCCUGACCCCGCCGACGACGCCACCGCGGGGCCCCUCCAGGUGGCCGUCCCCGAUGCGGCGUCGGCCAAGAUCGGGGUCUCGGUGGAGGACCUGGCGGCGCUGCCGCUGGUGCUCGACGCCGGGGCGGAGCGGCGGGUGGAGCGCCUCGCGCUCCGGGUAGGGGAGAACCUGUUCAAUUUUAUGCAGUCCUUCUGUGGCGUCGAUGGGAGCCGGCUGGUGGUGCCGAUGGAUAUUUUGGACCGGUGGUUCAAGAAAUUCCAGGAGAAGGCCAAGAAGGACCCCAGUUAUCUCAAGGGUUUCGCAUUGUGAGGGGGCUAAGGGGGGAAAGGUACGAGCUUUCUGGAUGUUUGUUCUUUUGAAGAAUUUUUAGGGUCAAGGAGUUCUUUCCCCUUCUUUUCAAAUGCAGUUUUAUGCUCGUUACAAGGGUUUUGGAUGAACCUGUCCACCACUUUGAUGUACUUUGCAACAUUUUAUUACUUCGAGGGUUUCUUAUUUGUAGGUGGUAGGAUGGGCUUGAUUUUGCAACCUUUUGAAUCAGUCUUUUAAUGAACACAAAUGGUGUUGAACCAUCCAUUCUUCAUAUGAACUCUGACAAAGCAUUUGAGAAUGUGGCAACACCAUAUUCUAUUACUUUUUUUUUCCUUUUCUGGAGGUAAAAGUGGUUGAUAAUGUGAUAUAUUGAAGUGAUAGUGAAUGCAUUGAAAAUCUGAAGAAAUGUCAGCUGCCAAAUCAGCUUUUCUAUGUAUAACAGAAUCUCAUAUAUCAUAUUCUGUAGGUAUUUUCAGUCAGUCUGUAUAGGCUUUAAGUAAUCUGGUGUACUUAUGAGCAUCCUUUGAUUGUUGAGGAGAACUCUAGAUAUAGGAGUGCUAUAUUCAAGAUAUGUACAUAUUCAAAUCGAGGAAUUUUCUUAUCCAAAGUUGCAAAUUAUAUCGGGUCUAAAGUUGAUCUGUGAUAAGGCAUUGGAUAUUCUGCAUAUAUGGGAGGUAAUCUGGGCACUUGAGAUUGCAAGAGACUGUUGGGGUGAGGUCAGUACAGAGACAUACAUAUAGACCGAGCUGAUAUGGUUGAAAUGCUUUGAUGAAGAUAAAGAUGAUGAUUGAAGGAAUACUGUGCUUUCACUGUAAUGACUCCAUUUCCAGACAAUCUUUUGUUUAGUGAUAGAAGGAAGCCAAUCUGAUUGGAUUGACACUUAGUCAGGGAGAUGACUGAAUGAAAAUAGCUGGAAGAAAUCAGGUCACUUACCGUUGUUCCAGGUCUGCAAGCUUCCAUAUGCAAGUCUAGCUUUAAAGGGAGUGCUGAAGGAUGGAUCAUGCUUGCAUCAAGUUAUGUAACUUGGUCUCAAAAACAAGAUCUUGGACCUAUUUAAGAGGCGUAAUUAAGUAUGAUUAACUAGUUGAUGAAGGAAUUUGUUUAUUUCUUCCUCUUCUUUCUUGCUUCCUUCUUCUCUUCUGUUUGAUAGUUUUCAGUUUUUUUGCUUUGAGCGACCCUCUGAUCAGUAGAUUUGUGGACAGCCUGUAUGCAGUGGACCAAUCAUAGCAUUUAAAGCUUCUUUGGUCGGAUGUGUUCUGGCCUAGAGAUUUUGGGUCAAACAAAGCUUAGGAAAUGCAUCAAUAGUGAGAAAAUGAUAGCAACAUGAUUGAUAUGGUUUUCUUCCUUGUAAUAAUGAUCAGAGAAAGCUGCCAUCUGGAGGUCAUGUAUUUCUAUUGAAAGAUUUUAAUGCCAGUGGAAACGAAGCUUUAUGUGAUUGAUGAUAUUGUUCAACAUACAAGUAAAUUAAAAGCUGUCAAAAAUUUAAGGAUGUUCGUUGACUAUGCUCAUGCUCAUCUACUAUGAUUUUGCAGAAAAUGAAAAUCCAACUUUGAUAUGAGUCUGAUCCAGUUAGAUGUCUAUUUUGUUGGUUUUGGAGGAAAAUUGAAAACUCAAAAUUUCUUCCAUCUAUUUCCAACCAAACCUCUAGCUUUCACGAAGUUUAGUCCCACAUUAGAAAAAGGAAAAAUGGAAAAGGAGUUUAUUUUGAAGACUCUUCUUUUGGGCCUGUGAACAUGCGCGCGCAGCUCAGCCUGGCCCGGCUCGCACGCACGUGAUCGCAUCGCACCCGCAUCUGCGGCAUGGCAGGGCUUACAUUUUGUUUCUUCGAUCUUUAUUUUCUGUUUUAUCUUUUUUCCGAACAUUGUGUUUUGCCUGUUGCGAUCGGUUAAAUUGUUUCCGCCCGUUUUGCGAUCGGUUAAAUUGUUUCCGCCCGUUUUGCGAUCGAUUAAGUUGUUUCCAUUCAUUUUACGAUUUAUUAAAUUGUUUCCAUCCGUUUAGAUUGGAUAGUUACGAGAUUAUCAUUGGACUAGCUAGUCCGUGGGCCUAUAAAAUGGCCCUAUGGUGGAGGGGUUUAGUAGUAGAAAAUACUUGCUCCCUCUCAUCUGAUCUCGUUUCAUCUUCACCGCCAGUGUUUUUCUUUUUCAAAAUCUUUUUUCGACCCUUUGAUCGUUCAUCUGUUGGUCGAAGUUCUGUCAUCCUCUCCAUAGUCAUGCUCGUAGGGGAGGUCUUCGAUUGUAUCUUGAGGCAGAUUUCUCGAGGUUGAUCCCGCAUAAGGGUCGAAAAUUGUCUUAGGACAGGACAUUGCACGUCUUCGAUCUGUAAGCUUUAG